AUUGAACGCUAGCGGGAUGCCUUACACAUGCAAGUCGAACGGAGUGGCGAACGGGUGAGUAAUGUAUCGGAACGUGCCCAGUAGCGGGGGAUAACUACGCGAAAGCGUAGCUAAUACCGCAUACUAUUGGAGCUGCCGAUAUCGGAUUAGCGAGUUGGGGGGGUAACGGCUCACCAAGGCGACGAUCCGUAGCUGGGAUGAGCGGACGACCAGCCACACGGGGACUGAGCAACAGCCCAGCCUCCUACGGUAGGCAGCAGUGGUGAAUUUUGGACAAGGGAGGAAACCCUGAUCCAGCCAGCCCGCGUGUGCGAUGAAGGCCUUCGGGUUGUAAAGCACUUUUGGCAGGAAAGCGGUACCUGCAGAAUAAGCACCGGCUAACUACUUGCCAGCAGCCGCGGUAAUAC
rnacentral:rRNA from 1 species